GCCCUGGCAGUCAGAGGCGAUGAAGGGCGUGCUAAUCUGCGAUAAGCGCCGGUAAGGUGAUAUGAACCGUUAUAACCGGCGAUACCCGAAUGGGGAAACCCAGUGUGACUCGUCACACUAUCAUUAACUGAAUCCAUAGGUUAAUGAGGCGAACCGGGGGAACUGAAACAUCUAAGUACCCCGAGGAAAAGAAAUCAACCGAGAUUCCCCCAGUAGCGGCGAGCGAACGGGGAGGAGCCCAGAGCCUGAAUCAGCAUGUGUGUUAGUGGAAGCGUCUGGAAAGGCGCGCGAUACAGGGUGACAGCCCCGUACACAAAAGCGCAUGUGCUGUGAGCUCGAUGAGUAGGGCGGGACACGUGGUAUCCUGUCUGAAUAUGGGGGGACCAUCCUCCAAGGCUAAAUACUCCUGACUGACCGAUAGUGAACCAGUACCGUGAGGGAAAGGCGAAAAGAACCCCGGCGAGGGGAGUGAAAAAGAACCUGAAACCGUGUACGUACAAGCAGUGGGAGCACCCUUUGGGUGUGACUGCGUACCUUUUGUAUAAUGGGUCAGCGACUUAUAUUCUGUAGCAAGGUUAACCGAAUAGGGGAGCCGGAGGGAAACCGAGUCUUAACCGGGCGUUAAGUUGCAGGGUAUAGACCCGAAACCCGGUGAUCUAGCCAUGGGCAGGUUGAAGGUUGGGUAACACUAACUGGAGGACCGAACCGACUAAUGUUGAAAAAUUAGCGGAUGACCUGUGGCUGGGGGUGAAAGGCCAAUCAAACCGGGAGAUAGCUGGUUCUCCCCGAAAGCUAUUUAGGUAGCGCCUCGUGAAUUCAUCUCCGGGGGUAGAGCACUGUUUCGGCUAGGGGGCCAUCCCGGCUUACCAACCCGAUGCAAACUGCGAAUACCGGAGAAUGUUAUCACGGGAGACACACGGCGGGUGCUAACGUCCGUCGUGAAGAGGGAAACAACCCAGACCGCCAGCUAAGGUCCCAAAGUCAUGGUUAAGUGGGAAACGAUGUGGGAAGGCCCAGACAGCCAGGAUGUUGGCUUAGAAGCAGCCAUCAUUUAAAGAAAGCGUAAUAGCUCACUGGUCGAGUCGGCCUGCGCGGAAGAUGUAACGGGGCUAAACCAUGCACCGAAGCUGCGGCAGCGACACUGUGUGUUGUUGGGUA
rnacentral:rRNA from 3 species